ACGAACGCUGGCGGCGUGCUUCACCCAUGCCAGUCGAACGGAAAGGCCCUGCUUUUGUGGGGUGCUCGAGUGGCGAACGGGUGAGUAACACGUGAGUAACCUGCCCUUGACUUUGGGAUAACUUCAGGAAACUGGGGCUAAUACCGGAUAGGAGCUCCUGCUGCAUGGUGGGGGUUGGAAAGUUUCGGCGGUUGGGGAUGGACUCGCGGCUUAUCAGCUUGUUGGUGGGGUAGUGGCUUACCAAGGCUUUGACGGGUAGCCGGCCUGAGAGGGUGACCGGCCACAUUGGGACUGAGAUACGGCCCAGACUCCUACGGGAGGCGGCAGUGGGGAAUAUUGCACAAUGGGCGGAAGCCUGAUGCAGCAACGCCGCGUGCGGGAUGACGGCCUUCGGGUUGUAAACCGCUUUCGCCUGUGACGAAGCGUGAGUGACGGUAAUGGGUAAAGAAGCACCGGCUAACUACGUG
rnacentral:rRNA from 1 species